AUUUCUUCGGAGAGUUUGAUCCUGGCUCAGGAUGAACGCUGGCGGCGUGCCUAAUACAUGCAAGUCGAGCGAACUGAUUAGAAGC
rnacentral:rRNA from 1 species